GUGCCAGCAGCCGCGGUAAUACGUAGGGUGCAAGCGUUAUCGGAAUUACUGGGACGUAAAGCGUGCGCAGGCGGUUUUGUAAGACAGUGGUGAAAUCCCCGGGCUCAACCUGGGAACUGCCAUUGUGACUGCAAGGCUAGAGUGCGGCAGAGGGGGACUGGAAUUCCGCGUGUACGCAGUGAAAUGCGUAGAUAUGCGGAGGAACACCGAUGGCGAAGGCAAUCCCCUGGGCCUGCACUGACGCUCAUGCACGAAAGCGUGAGGGAGCAAACAGGAUUAGAUACCCUGGUAGU
rnacentral:rRNA from 1 species